GCCGGGGUAGCUCACUGGUAGAGCGCCGCCCUGAAAAGGCGGGCGUAGGCAGUUCGAUUCUGCCCCCCGGCACCG
rnacentral:tRNA from 1 species